rnacentral:rRNA from 1 species
AAACUUUCAACAACGGAUCUCUUGGCUCUGUCAUCGAUGAAGAACGCAGCGAAAUGCGAUAGGUAAUGCGAAUCGCAGGAUUUCCGUGAGACAUCGAAUCUUUGAACGCACAUUGCGCCCUUUGGCACUCCGAAGGGCAUGUCUGUUCGAGCGUCAGUG